rnacentral:lncRNA from 1 species
GGGAACUUCCUUCCUGCCCCCUCCGAGUUUUGCCUCUCUCACUGGCAGCAACCCAGCGCUUCCAUUGCUGACCUCUACCGACCUCUACCUGUGGUCCUUCCUCUACUGCAGCAGAGACACUGUUUUCUUCCUUUGUUCUUCCAACCCCAUGUGAAUAAACUGACACUGGAACAUUCAGGAACUUCUUCAUGGUCAUGGUCACCCAGCUAGAGUGUGGAAGCCAGGCUGUCUGAUUCCAGGAUCUGUGUUCUUAAUCCUAUACAUAAGGAAGCCAUAAUGAGUCAACCACUAUUUUUAAGAUUCACAGAUGUUCGGGUCCAAUUCACCAGAAUGCCAAGUUAUACAGGGUUGUGGAAUCAAAAACUGCAAUUAGUAAUAAAAUGUGAUGCUAUCUAGAAUGUUUUUCAUACAUAUAUAUGCUUCUUGGGACUCUCCCUGCAGGUUAAGAGAAAUUGAGAAACGAUGGAGAAUUUAAGUGUUUUAGAUCCUACAUACAUUAGACUUAAAAAUAGUAACUAUGUACAUGAGUAUUUGUAAACUUAAGAAUGAACAUAACAUGAACCAUGUGGCACCUAUAAAAUGAAAAUAAAAUACCUACAAACCAAAUGAGAGCAAUAAAAGAAGCUUUAAGGAC